rnacentral:rRNA from 1 species
UAUGCUUAACACAUGCAAGUCGAACGGCAGCACGAGAGAGCUUGCUCUCUUGGCUGACGAGUGGCGGACGGGUGAGUAACGCGUAAGAAUCUGCCUAGUAGUGGGGGAUAACUCGGGGAAACUCGAGCUAAUACCGCAUACGCCCUACGGGGGAAAGUGGGGGACCUUCGGGCCUCACGCUAUUAGAUGAGCUUGCGUUGGAUUAGCUAGUUGGUGAGGUAAUGGCUCACCAAGGCGACGAUCCAUAGCUGGUCUGAGAGGACGAUCAGCCACACUGGGACUGAGACACGGCCCAGACUCCUACGGGAGGCAGCAGUGGGGAAUAUUGGACAAUGGGCGCAAGCCUGAUCCAGCAAUACCGCGUGUGUGAAGAAGGCCUGCGGGUUGUAAAGCACUUUCAAUUGUGAAGAAAAGCUUGGGGUUAAUAGCCCCGAGUCUUGACGUUAACUUUAGAAGAAGCACCGGCUAACUCUGUGCCAGCAGCCGCGGUAAUACAGAGGGUGCGAGCGUUAAUCGGAAUUACUGGGCGUAAAGCGUGCGUAGGCGGUUUAGUAAGUCAGAUGUGAAAGCCCUGGGCUUAGCCUGGGAACUGCAUUUGAAACUGCUGAACUAGAGUGUGGUAGAGGGAAGUGGAAUUCCGGGUGUAGCGGUGAAAUGCGUAGAUAUCCGGAGGAACACCAGUGGCGAAGGCGACUUCCUGGACCAACACUGACGCUGAGGUACGAAAGCGUGGGUAGCAAACAGGAUUAGAUACCCUGGUAGUCCACGCCGUAAACGAUGUCAACUAGUUGUUGGGAGCAUUCUGGCUUUUAGUAACGUAGCUAACGCGAUAAGUUGACCGCCUGGGGAGUACGGCCGCAAGGUUAAAACUCAAAGGAAUUGACGGGGGCCCGCACAAGCGGUGGAGCAUGUGGUUUAAUUCGAUGCAACGCGAAGAACCUUACCAGCCCUUGACAUCCUGCGAACUUU